UUUAACCUGCCAGGGAAGAGUUCCCAUUCAGUAAGACCUGACCAGGGAAUAAGAGGUUGAUUUCAGUGAACUCCCAUCAAAUGAAUAUUGCUCUAGCCAGAAGCCUGGGAACUUUUUUUUCUCUUUUUAAAUAAAAUGCAAUGGUAAAGCAUAUUUGCAUUAAAAUAUUACACUAACCAAGGCUGGUAAGAACUGUAAAUUAUUGGAGUGGCGUAAUAGAGCAUGAGUUUUUUUUUUUUUUUUUUUUUUUUUUUAAGACAGGCCUUCGGGGUAAUAACAAGGGUUGAGGCUCACGACAGUGCCAAAUAAGCUUUAGACAGCAUAAUAGUCUACAAAGAAAGCCACAGAGCACUAAUGUGAAGGAAGAGCUGUCCACCACAUGCAGCAAAAAUCACCAAAGGUCAUUUUAUGGUAGCAAUUGUGACAUAAAAUUGGUGGUCAUGCUACAUGUCUAAUACUCAGCACAGCUUUAUAAAUGAUGGGCCCCUAGCGAUGGCUGUCAUUAAGUGCUUUCAUCAUAAUAAACUUUAAACUGUUGGCUUUAUGAAUCGCCAGCUAGCUUCAGCUGUUCGUUGGAUGGAGCUUGCAGUGCCUUAAGUGUGACAAGACCUAUUAGGAAUUGCAACCAUGUUUCAAGCGUACUUGGCUUCCCCACUCCUGGGGUGAUUGCUGCCUAUUAAACGGCGUCUGGGAAGAUUUUCCUCCAGCAAUCUCUGAUCAAGAGCUUUUUUGGGCUUUGACCUGCAUUUCCUUCAAGACUUUCUCUGAGGAGUUUUAUAAGAGCAAAACUCCAGAGGAUUUAUAGCCACUUCUGAUUAAUACCUUUCCAGUUUUUCUAGCAACUCUCCCACUGCUGCAUAGAGAAAAGCUUUCAUUGUUCCUGAGGUGCUUAUUUGUGACCUUUUCUCUGCUUCCUGAUUCCCUCUAACGUGUUCUCUCAGUGAAAUCCUCGGGGUGGAACCAAGACAGUGAGGUUGUUACAGCGGGAGAGACAGAGGAGGAAAGACGGAGGCUUUUAUAUUUUUAAAGAAUGACAUGCAGAGCAGCCUGGCCCCGCCCAUUUAAAAUGCCCGCUGUGACGUCACCAGCCGCCCGCGUACCCAACGCAGCCUUAAUGAGCCCUCCGUGUAAACUGAGCCGACACGUAAAGAUUCCACGAUUCAAAUUACACUUUCAUUAACCUUUAGCAUAGGAAGUCUUUCAGUUUCCAUAAAUCUUACAGUGGCUUACCGUCUGUCCUACUGAUGUGAAUAAUAGAUGUUUGGGGAAAUCGCUCUUUAAAAACCCAGGGUAUUUAAUUUACGAGGGCUAAAUACAUAUUUCAGAUUCCCUCAGCAAGGACUUUAAUUACUUCUUGUUGGUUUUUCUAACUUGGAGGUCGCCCCCACCCCUCCAGUGUUCCUCUGCGCCACUCAGAUGUUUCAGAGAUGGGAAAAGCUUGCAACGUCUAAGUCCCUGCCUUAAUACUCAUUAGUCUUUCUUUUGAGCUAAGUAAUGUCCUCAAGAUAGUUAGGGGAACGUCUCAGGUGUGGACCAUUACACAAUUAAAUUAGCGAACCUUGGAGGGAUCGGAUUAGGACUCAGCAGGGGACACCUGGGGAUUCUAGGGCCGAGCCGGCUUUCUGAAUAGCAGGGCUCUGGCCAUGAAUAAGCAGUGAGGGUCGGCCCGCUAGGUAGGCUCGGUCACAAACUCGUCUUAGCGAAUAAAGUACUGCAGGCUAAACCGUUUUUCCCCCCUAGGAGUAGGUUUCUUUGGCUGUCGGAGAGAACAGGAAACCCAUCAGCCAAUGAGUCCGGCAGAGGGGAAAACUGGAGUCGGAGGACGCGUGGCUUUUCGCUUACAAAGGCAUCCGCCCAUCCCUUCCCGCGAGGCGGCCAAGGCUGGACCCGUGCAUUUGGAAGCUGCGGCCCAGGUGCAAGCGGUGGGGGCGGGCCGGGCCGCAGAAUGCCCCCGAACAAAGGCGCCUCCAGGGGCCCCGCGCAGAGGUCACCUGCUGCCUCCAGGGCAGAUUAAGGCGGACUGGCGAGGGCGUUUGGAGGAAAUGGUGCUGGUCUUUGGGAAAUCAAUUCGUCCCACCCUUAAUAGGGCAUGUGGCCCUCCCUCCUUGGGAGUUAGUUCCAGGCCCUGGGCUUCCAGGUCUUUCCAAAUCCCCUUCUGGAAGAGGCGGCCCCUCGGCCUGCCCGUGCUCCCUGAGAAUUUCUUGUGCUGUCGGCAACGUCGCACCUCCCUUUUCUCCCUCCUUCGGGCUCUCCCGCCCCUCUCUACCCAGGCUUCUUUCAUAACGAGGCUGGAAGUGGAACUUUCCCCCCACUCCCUUACUUCGCGAUUUCUUUUUUCCCAGUGACCUGGGCUGCACUUUGCCCCCACUCCCUGCCUGCCAAUCUCCUCCGGGUUAGGGCCUCUCUCUUUCCAUUCUUGCGAGCUCCCCCUACUUGAGAGCUCCAGGAGGCCCAGCCUUCCAGAAUCCGAUCUCCUUCCGACACUGCAGCCCCCCUGCGGAGGAAGGAAGAGGCCUCCUCGGAAUGAAUGACGGAGCAGCAAAGCAACCCCCAGCGAGCUGCAGGAGCCAGGGUCCCUCCUUAAGUGGCUCUUCCGUUACAUUUUGAGGUGAAGCUGGAGGAAGAGGAGGAAAAAGGCCCCCGUGACCUAUAUCCUCAAGGUCUGUUUCUCCUGGGCUCUGCGACAGGAAAGAAUCAGAAUGCUUUCUGGAGGAAGAAGAAAAACCCAAGUGCUGAUUGUCCCUUUAAGCCAUUCCAAUCACAGGCUCGCAGUUAAAAUAAUGCUCACCUACUGAGCUUCCAACUGGGCCAUCUACCUUUUUCGCUGGCGGGGUCAUGCCCAGUCAAGCCUGAUGAGGCUGCCACCGGCCCGCGAGCUCGCUGCAGGCCGGGCUACACCUGUUUAUCACCAAGUCACUUCAUUUCCCUUCCCCUCCUCCCUGCUUGAAAAGGAGCAUUAAUUAAACCGGUAAACAAGCCGGCUCCCAUUCUAAAUCAGGGCUGCAGGCAACGGAGAGAUAACUUGGGCUCCGGAGAAGAGGGAUUUUCUGUUAAUUUA